GUCCUCAUUUCGACAGCACAUAUCCUAAAAUUGGAAUAAGACUGUCAUGGUCCCUCCCCAAGGAUGACAUGCAAAUUCAUGAAAUAGUCCCUACUUUU
ensembl:snRNA U6 U6 spliceosomal RNA